GAGUAAUUAAUCUAAUGGUCCGUGUUGUCUUUUCCUCUGCCUGCUCUUAGUGAGAGGAGACUGGAAAGUGUCUGGGCUGUGCAGUGGGAGUGCAGCUCCUUAUGCAGUGUUCAUUCUAAUGCCAUGUUGAUUAGCCUGGGCUUGAAGUGCCAUGCUUUCAGUCACUGUGGUUAUCAGCUGGCACUGUCUGUUCCCCAUGUCCUCAGGGUCCCCAGGAGAUGGGUCCAGCAGUGGGCUGUGCUUGCCCUGAUCCAGGUCAUGUCACCUGUGCUGUGAGCCACAGGAUUUCACACAAGGGAAUUAUUUAUUGGAGCUCUCUAAGUGUGCUGAUACAAAGAUGACUUUCAUUGGGGUGAAGUCUGUGCUUUGGACAGCCUUACAUAAUCUGCCCAAAGAGAUCAAAAUUGUUAUGCUGAAAUGAACUCAUAGAUAGUUUAUGUCAAUGUUGAAUCACCUAAACACAGCUAUGUUCCUUUAGGGAUGACAUUUUUGCUGUCUUUGCUAUUGACUCUUUGCAUAAUUUAGUGUAAUGUCUUGUGUUUUCUCACAGCAGCUCUGUUGGCCCUACUGUUUGAUGAAUGUCUUGAUCAGUCUUGUGCUCAGUUAAGUGGCAGUGUGACAAGAGGUGAUGGGUAGUUUCACAUGAAACUUGGGUAUAUAUGAGAAGCUGCCAAGGCAGAAAGACACAGCUGAAGUUGUUUGAGCCUCCUCAUGCUCUGGGGAUGCCAGGUUGAUGGACAUGGCUGGCAUGUUGAUGGACAUUAGGUGUGCUAACAUCUGUUGAACAUACAUAGUCAGGAGCUGGAAUAGUUAGACAUUUCUUACUGUAUAAACAGUAAGAAAGGUCUAAAUAUUGUGAACCCAUGAAAUCAGCAAAGCUGAAUUCAGUGGUGCCUUUUACUUGCAUGUCUAGGCUUUAUAACGAUAAGUAUAGGAAAAAUUGAAAUCUGUAAUUUAAGAACAUCAUGGUAUUUAAUAUAGUAUAAGCUAAUUUCUCUGUAAAUGUAGCAUUUUGUAAAAAAAAAGCGCUGUUUUGAAGGCUUGAGGAAACAUGAAGCUGUUGAUGCAAGGAAGCAGUGAGUAAAGAUUUCUUUUAUACUAUACAAAAAUGUGACUUGUCCAAAGCAAAUCUCUCACUGGUAGGUUGAUGCAGAAAACCUCCAGCACUGACAGUAUGUAGGGAUGUAGGGCAGAUGCAGGGAUGUCUAUCCAAAUGUGUAGAACUUGAAACAGGAGCUUGCUGGUACAGGUUGCCUGCUUUCCUUCAGGGAAGGCUGUUCAGGUGUCACUGGUGGUGGUGCUCUAAUAUCAAUAUUGAUGACUGUUCUGGUGAUUGGCUUAGUGGAUAAGUAAGGAGAGGGAAUAUUGAAUUCAGUAUACUGGUUGAUUCCUGUGUUUCUCAGAGCUUGAGUAAUACAAAGGUCUAAAUACAUAUACAGAAAGGAUUAAAAAAUCUUAAAUAGACAAACUUGCUGAACUCUGGCAAACUUAACUGAUUGAUCUGUAGUAAGAGUACACCUUUUGCAAUUCCCAAAUAUAGGGCAUUUUAGAAAUUUCCUAUACCUAAAUGCAGUAGCACAGUUAAAAAUCUUUGGUCCUGGUGGCUCUGGUGACAUUACUGGCCUGUUUCUGGUACACAACAAGAUGUCAUUUUAUUUCUGAACAGAAUGGCUUACUCACAUGUUUGCAAUGUAUGUGUAUUUGACUAUUUUCAUUCAUAUGCUUUGUAUGUGGAAACAAAAAUCUGUUUUUAUGAACCCCACCAUUAAAAGACAAACUGUAAACUAAGCCCCAGCAGCUGUCUCUGUGGUGCACAGCUACAGUCCUUCAGUGGAUUCACAUUUGAAUUUUGAUUAAAUGACUGGUGUGCUGAAAUCUCUAAUGAUUUUUUUUAACGUUUACUGGCAAAUAUCUUUGCUUUAAUUCUGUUCCUCAUAGGACUUCUUGAUUAAUGGCACAAAUUUCCUAUGGGAGACUUCAUCUUUAUGGAUUCUCCAGUGUUUAACAGAGGGAUCAGUUUGCUCUCUAGUCAGUCAUCCAUUGUAGGAUAGAACACUUUAAUCAGAUUUGGAAGACUUUUAUUUUCUUACACUGUUUGAAAUUGCUCAAAAACCUUUAGGGAAUGUGCAAGUGUAAAUAAUGACUGAAACCUUUCAUGAGGGAUAUAUGUUAAGGAGGAGAAACAUUUAUUUUGAUGAAGUUUUCCUGGUAUGUUGUAGUUGUAAUAACUUACUUUGCAAUAACAAAAAUAAAGAAAAUCUCAGUAUCUCAAAUAUUUAACACCUCUGCCUAGAAGUGAGUGUCCCCUUUUCUUACAGCUACAGUUCAGUGUGUCCUGUAGUCUAACUGGUGUUGUGACAUUUCUAAGACUUCAUUCCUGACACAUUCAUAACACUCCUUGUUACACAAUAGCUGACAUUAGACCAAGCCUAAAACUGUGUUUGUGAUGUUUGAAUGUGUGACUGGAUCUUGUGCUUUUGGAGUUCAAACUUGCUGCAUUCAGUGAAACAUUUCAAUAACCAAUAACAUUGCCUCUGUUUGUCUUUCCUAGUAAGCAACAGAUGCGGGUGAAAGAUCCAUCAAGAACCAACCCUGAGAAGCCGAAGAGAAGCAAAAGGCCCAACAGGCCCCAGGAUGAGGACUCUUCAGAUGAUAUUUCAGGGCUCACCUGCCAGCACGUGAGCCAGGCCGUGGACGUGCCCCUCGUGAAGAGAGCGGUGGCUCAGAGCGUGUGGUCCGUGUGCGCCGAGUGCCUCAGGGAGAGGAGGCUGAGCGACGCCGAGCCCGCGGCGCCUUCAGACAUCUGGCUGUGUCUCAAAUGUGGCUUCCAGGGAUGUAGUAAGAAUUCAGAAGGCCAGCAUUCUCUGAAACACUUCCAAACUGCACGCACAGAGCCUCAUUGCAUCGUUAUCAACCUCAGCACAUGGAUCAUAUGGUGUUAUCAGUGUGAUGAAGAGCUGUCAACACAUUGCAACAAAAAGGUUCUGGCUCAGAUAGUUGACUUCCUUCAAAAACAUGGUGCCAGGGCUGAACCAAGUUCAUCAAAAAUCAUACGUCUUCGUGAAGAAAACAGUGAAACAAGUGAAAUACUGAAAGGAAAAAGUUCUGGUAAUGGUGCAUCAGUUCCAGUUAAAGGAAUAAAUAAUUUAGGAAACACCUGCUUUUUUAAUGCUGUCAUGCAGAACCUGGCACAGACUCACGUACUAAAUGAACUGAUGUAUGAGAUAAAGGAGAAAGGAACAAAGUUAAAAAUCUGUCAUACUUCAGAUUCUCAAUUGGAUCCUUUGGUGGUAAACCUGUCCAGCCCGGGACCUUUGACUUCAGCAAUGUUCUUGUUCCUUCACAGCAUGAGAGAGGCUGGAAAAGGUCCUCUGUCUCCCAAAGUGCUGUUCAGCCAGCUUUGUCAGAAGGCUCCUCGAUUCAAGGGGUUCCAGCAGCAGGACAGUCAGGAGCUUCUGCACUAUCUGUUGGAUGCAAUCAGGAUCGAGGAGACAAAACGUAUACAAACUGGUAUCUUAAAGGCAUUCAAUAACCCAACUACUAAGACAGCAGAUGAAGAAACUAGAAGAAAAGUCAAAGCAUUAUCCUCCCUGACGUAAGAAGAGGGAUCCUUUGAAUUCAAAAAGGAUUCAAGUACUGGGCUUGAUUUUACAUCUGACUUAAGGCUGGAGGUUCCAAAUUCUAUAAUCAUGUGUGUUACACACCAGUAUUAUUUGAUAUUUUUGAAACACCUAUUUUAAAACAUAAAUCCUCCUACCUGCUCUUCUGGGAUACACCUGAUAAUUGGAAAUUACUUACAUUGAAUUAGAAUGAGUGGGAAAAUGCUAAAAUUACUUCUUUUUCUUUGAAGUAUUUUUUAUAAUUAACAUAAUAACCCUAAUGAACAGUAUAUUCCUUUCAUAAUUAAUAUUACUGACAUUCCAUCAUAAAUGCUUUCCAUGAUCCUUAUAAUUUUCUUUUAAGUUUGACAGAGAAAAAUCUUAAUUGCAUGACUUUUUAAAUUGAAUGUUAUAUUUGUGUUUGGUUUAAAACAUUCUAUUUCAUAUUAUAGAGAUUAAAUAAAUUAAUGAAUCUGAAAAAUUAAGCACAGUCCUGCAGUGCCAGGUAAACUUCCCUGUGUGUGAUGUGCAGAUUACUCUUCAAUGUGCUACUAGUACCAAUGAAGAACUUUGACCAUAUAAAAAAUAGAGGUUGUAUGUAUAUUGCAUGUCUCAUCUAUUUUUGCUGGCUUCUUAUAUUCUGCCUGCACAGGACUUGAGAAUAUGCUAGCUGUAGCCCUUUGAGGAAGAGUUUAGCAUUCAUUUUCCUUUGCCUGCACUGGCAAGAUAUUUUUGAUAUGUGUUUGUUCAUGCAAAGCGACACUUUAGAGGAGCCCCUGUUUGAACAUCGCUCACCAGGCAGGCAGGCAGGCAGGCAGUCACCAGAGCUGCCUGCUUUUGAUCCCAUUUAUUGCUUUACUGGAACCUAAACAUUCCUCAGUCCCUGGCACAACAGGUAAAUUAAGCUUGCAGUCCAUACCAAGUGUCACAGGUGGAAGAUGGGGUCACAAAUACAAGAGAAGGGACAUGGUGACAGUAAUUGAUGGCAUGGCUGUGACUUAAAUGUACAACAUGAUUUUUACUUCCUUUUUUAAGGUUUUGUUUUUCACAGUCUUUUCAGAGGUAAGAUAAGUCAGUUUUGGAAGGAAUUCGAGAACAGCAAGGGAGAGAGCCUGAGGAACUUAGUGAUAAAGGCAGAUGGAAAGUGCUGGAAGAGAUUGUCUUUUGGUAUGCUUUGUAAGAUGUUUCCAGCUCAUAUAUGGCAAAAUGAAACCUCAGUACAAAAAAAGAGGUUGGUUUUUUUUCAAGUCCCUUUUCCUCUGUAAUUGGAUUUAUUUUACCAAUUAGUACAUGGUGUCAAAAAAUUUAACAAAGCUUUUGACUGUAACCAAUAAGGCUGACUUAAUCUUGACUGAGAGCAUGAGGUUAGAACCUGUCACUUAGCUGUCAUUAACCAGUCCUUGCUGCAUAACAGCUCGAACACCUGUGCAGAAGUGUCCAGAAUCAGGAGACACUAGAAGGUAGCUUUCUGCAAAAGGGUACCACAGGGGCCCACUUGAAACUCCAUCUGGAGCUCAGAGAAAGUGAGCACCACACUGCUUCAAGUCAGUUCAUGCCCAGACUGAUGGCCUUGCCCUUUACCUUACAUGCUGAAGUUUUGUGUGGUGUUAGAAAGAAAUUUAGACUUAACUUAAUAAUUUUCUUUUAAGUUAAUGGGAAGUUCUUCAUUGUAGUUUCAUACAUCUUGUAAGUAAUUAGCUUGUUGUAUAGUUUUUGAUAACAAAUUGAUUAAAUAAAGGGAGCUAUGUACUAAACCCAUAUAGUCUUCUUUGUGUUUAAGUGCAUUUUCUCUUUUUCUUCAAGAUUUCAACAGUAAAAGAACCUUUCAUUGAUCUUUCACUUCCUAUAAUAGAGGAGAGGGUUGCAAAACCUGUGCCCUUGGGAAGAACAGG